GAUGAACGCUGGCGGCGUGCCUAAUACAUGCAAGUCGAGCGAACGGACGAGAAGCUUGCUUCUCUGAUGUUAGCGGCGGACGGGUGAGUAACACGUGGAUAACCUACCUAUAAGACUGGGAUAACUUCGGGAAACCGUAGCUAAUACCGGAUAAUAUUUUGAACCGCAUGGUUCAAAAGUGAAAGACGGUCUUGCUGUCACUUAUAGAUGGAUCCGCGCUGCAUUAGCUAGUUGGUAAGGUAACGGCUUACCAAGGCAACGAUGCAUAGCCGACCUGAGAGGGUGAUCGGCCACCCUGGAACUGAGACACGGUCCAGACUCCUACGGGAGGCAGCGGUAGGGAAUCUUCCGCAAUGGGCGAAAGCCUGACGGAGCAACGCCGCGUGAGUGAUGAAGGUCUUCGGAUCGUAAAACUCUGUUAUUAGGGAAGAACAUAUGUGUAAGUAACUGUGCACAUCUUGACGGUACCUAAUCAGAAAGCCACGGCUAACUACGUG
rnacentral:rRNA from 1 species